CAGAAACAGAACUCAGCUCACUAAGUAGAGUUGGAUAAAGAUAUGGACUUACCUUUAAAGCUCUGCCAGAUGGCUCUUUCCACAAGACCGAAGUCAUUUGCAUUUACUGUCGCUGUGUGAGACCCGGCAGCUCUACAGCGAUGCAUUUAUUUUUGGGACAUUCGGGGACUCUCCUAUCUUACAGAGAAGAUCUGUAUGUUUUAUUUUUGGGACAUUUGGGGACUCUCCUAUCUUACAGAGAAGAUCUACAUGUUUUCAGAGACUAUCCUGAUUCAAUCCCCUAAAAAACAGGUAAUCAGCCAUUAGGUUAAACUCUGGGCAUUUCUGUUACCAGCUGACAAUGCUAAGAUGUAUGCUGCGUCUGUAUCUCUGUCCAGCUGAACUGAAAGGGUCCGAUCAGAAGCCUGCCUCCUCGCCGUGAGGAUGACAAAAGAGGUAUGGAAAGUGUCUCUUGUACACGGAUAAGAUACAUGAAGACUCUAGUCAUGCUGGACUAGCUGACUUUCACCAAAGUUGUUUUUCUGACUUGAUGUCUUUACUUUCCUUUCAGUUUGCCUUUCUGAUACUUCAUCUACUGCUGAUCUGACAGUGAAUAUGUGUCCUAGGAUGUUUUCACACCCGAAAGGGCGAACCAAGGUCCAAACCAAGGUCCAUGUUUUUGUAACAUUGUAUACAUUUGGUUCAGUCUAUCCAGGUUUCACAUUGUAGUUAUUGCAAACGGACUAACAGACUUUACAUUACAAACCUACGUGAUAUCAUACUAUGUGCUUUGCGUGUCUCUUUACUUUGCAUUAAUUGGUCAUUUGGCCAGUGGGCGUCUGAUGUCGACACAUUGAAUAAUGC